rnacentral:tRNA from 1 species
GCCUGGGUGGCUCAGUCGGUUGAGCGUCUGACUUCGGCUCAGGUCAUGAUCUCAUGGUCUGUGAGUUCGAGCCCCGCGUCGGGCU